UAUUUAUAUAUUUUUGUAUAUAUAUUUGUGUAUAUAUAUAUAUGUAUAUAUUUGUAUAUAGUGCUGAGGAUCGAACCCAGUGCCUUACACGUGCUGGGCAAGCGCUACAACUCUACCCGCUCCGUAUCACUUUUAACUUUUUGUUCGUUUAUUUUUGGUGUCAUGGAUUUUUAAAAAUCAACUUCAUUAAGGUAUAAUUAACAUAACACUAAGCUGCACAUAUUUAAGCUUAAAAUUUGUAAAUUUGGACUUAUGAAUAUACCCAUAAAAAUGUCAUCACAAUUUAGACAGAGAACACAUCCACCAACCCCUGAUAUAUAUAUAUAUAUUUUUUUUUACUCCCCUUGCCCUUUUUCUUGGUGUCUUUUUUAUCCUCCCCUUCCACCCUUCUCAGUCCUCACCUCUCACUCCCACUCCUGGUUAAGACCACCACUGAUCUGCUUUGCCACCACACAUCUGUUUGCAUUUUCUGGAGUUCCAUAAGGACUCCGGUUCUAACAUGUCUGUACUCGUCUGUGUGUUACUGGGGAUCGAGUCCAGUGGCUCCACCACUAGAUUCCAUGCCCAGCUCUGUUUAUUCUUUGUCUCACUAAGUUGCCCAUGCUAGUUUCAAACUUGUGAUGCUCUUGCUCCAGCCUCCUGACUAGCUGGGAUUACAGGUGUGUGCCACUGUGCCCAGCUUUGUCUGGCUGCUGUUAUUCAGCAUAAUGAUUUGAUACCUAACCAUAUUUGUUCAUCUAUGAAUGAUUCAUUUCUUUUUUACUGCUUAGUAUUCUGCUGCAUAGAUUGAUCAUCAUUUGUUCAUCUAUUUAUCUGCUGAUGGACAUCUGAAUUGUUUCCAGAUUUUGGCUAUUAUGAACACUGCUAUAUAAGUGUAUAUAUAUUUGUGUGGACAUGUUUUCAUUUCUCUUGAGUAAAUAAAUGCCUAGGAGUGGAAUGGCUGAAUCCAUGAUAUGCAUUCACUUUAACUUUUAAAGAAAUUUCCAAACUGAUUUCCACGGUGGCUGUACCAUUUGUACUCCCACCAGCAGUGUGACAGUUCUAGUUCCUCCACAAAUCAGCUACCAAUAGAAGUAUGAUCAACCUUAAACUCUAGCAAUUCCAAUAUGUUGGGAUAUUUUAGGGUUUUAAAUUUCAUUUUUCUAAAGAUUAAUGACUUUGCACAUCUUUUCAUAUGCUCAUUUGCCAUCCAUGAGUCUUCAUGGGACAGUAUGUGUUGAAUUAAAUCUUUUGUCCAUUUAAAAAAUUGGGUCAUUUUCUUAUUAUGGAGUCCUGAGAAAUUUUUUAUUCCUGCAGUGCUGGGGACUAAACCUAGGGCCUCAUGGAUGCGAGGAGAAGUACUCUAACACUGAGCUACACACCCAGCUGGAGUUUUUAGAAUUUAUUUAUAUGCUGUAGAUACAGACUUUUAUCAGAUGAUUUCAAAAAUAGUUUCCACCAGUCUGUGGGCUUAUCUUUAGUUCUUUUAACAAUACUAUUCAAAGAAAAAGUUAUUAAUUUGGGGAACAUGUAGUCUGACAACUUUUUUUCUUUUUGAAUUGUUUCUGCAUUGUACCUAAGAAAUCUUUGACUAGUCUAAUGACACAAAGAUUUUUCUCCUGUUUUCUACUACAUGUUUUAAGAUUUUUAGGUAUUACGUUCAGGUUUUAGAUCCAUUUCGAAGUGUAUAUAUAUAUUUAUAUACAAAAAUAUAUAUAUAAAGAACUUCACUCCUUUUUCUUUUAAAUAUAUGAAUAUCCAACUACUGCAGCACCAUUUAUUGAAAAGAUUAUCCCUUCCUCACAGAAUUACUCUUUUUAAACUGAUCAAUAGUACUUUAAUUAAAAGUUCUUGGCAAUGUUUUAGUCUAAAUUUUUCAUAAACAUAACUAGUAAAAGACAUAAGUUAAACAACACCACUUUAGAAAAAAUUUGCAAAUUGUUAGACCAAGAAUUAAUUUGUUUUUAUUCAGUUAGUAGGUCAUAUUACUAGAUCCCGGUCUUUUUUUGUUGGGGGGGGGGGUUUGGAGAAUCUUUUCAAUGAAGUAAUUGAGUCAUGACACCACAAUGAAUGUAUAUAUAGAAUUGAGAGAGAUUUAAAAUACCAUAUAAUUAUUUCAGCUUUUAGAUCACUAAAGUCAAGCUUUGCCUGCUGGUUAUUAACCCUCAUCCCAAAUAAUCAUUUAAUAUAUACUGUGCUUCAUUGUACUGAUGCUAUUCAAGGCAUAGAUGUAAGAUCUGUCCUUCGGAUAGAAUUACUCUUUGAAUCUUUAUAAAGAAUCAGUUAACAACAACAACAAAAACAAGAUGACCUAAGAGUAGAAGAGCAUGGCUCAGGGACUGGGAAAAGGGGCUGGAGGUAGAGAGGGGAGAAUGGGAGAGGGUAGAGGGAAGCAUGGACAGGAUAAAAAAUGUGUGGACUUAAAGUCUGUCAGUCAUCUUGAAUUUGGGUAGUCUUAGCUCUCCAACUUUUAUCUUUUUCUAUUUUAGCUAUGCUGGGUCUUUGGCUUUUACAUACAGAUUUCAGAAUCAGCUUGACAAUUUCUAUAAAAAUGCCUGCAUAAUUUUUUAAAAACAUUUAUUUUUUAGGUGUAGAUGAACAUAACACAAUGCCUUUAUUUUUUUAAUAAGGUGCUGAGGAUCGAACCCAGGUCCCGCCCAUGCUAGGUCAGCCAAGUGCUAUACGGUUAAGCUGCAGCUCCUGCCCUGAGUCUGAUUUUUAAACACUGUUACCUCACACAGCCCAACCAAGUCCUGAACCAGACAUUCCUUUCUCUGCCGGAAGUUUAUGGUCUGAAGUUGGUUUUCAGAUAAAAAAUCCCAGGCUUUUAAGAUUGUCAUCAUUUCAUUCAUGGGGAUUUUCAAGAUGGUCCUCCUGAUAAAUUCAGCAACAGUCUCAUCCAUCUCUUUGGCACUUCAACAAAACAGAAACAGAAAGAGCACAACAAAGUACCAAUCAAAUAUUGAAGUUUAACUAAACCCUUUCUGAGUUCCAGCUACACUGGCCUCUUGAUUCCUACAAGACAGAAUGACCCCUCUGGUGAUGUGCCAUUGUACCUGCAAUUAUCCCUGCCCAGAAGAUUCUUUUUGUAUUCACUCAUAUUCAUGGGAUUUCCUGUUGUAAAUCAGGUAUGUUAGCUUCCUUCUGCUGUAACAAAUACCUGAAAUAAACAACUUAUAAAAAGCAAAGAUUCAU